UUCCGAACACAGAAGUUAAGCUCUCUAGCGCUGAUGGUACUUGGUGGGAAACUGCCUGGGAGAGUAGGACGUAGCCACGU
rnacentral:rRNA from 1 species